rnacentral:lncRNA from 1 species
AUGCAGUCGAUGUUAGGGUUUGUUGAGGGGGUUCUUGAAGGUGAAAGAGAGGGUUUCUUCGUUAAAUGCUCUCUCCCUUCAACAAUCUCUCAGUUCCCUCUCUUUUUAUGUCUUCAAUCGACGUCUUUCUCUUAUCCCCUGCUCCUUCAGGGCCUCACAAAAUCCUAAUUCUUAGCUAACAGCUGAGGAGGUUGACCUCUCCCAGGAUGUACAGCAGUGGGAUGCUCUGUCUGACUCCGAAAGCACUUUGUAAGUCAAGUCCUGUCAUUUUUUGCCGCAGCUGAUGGGGUUAUUUUGGAGAAUUUUGCUGCAAGAUUUCUAAACGUUGUUCAGAUUCCAGAGGUGAUUUGUCUGCUAUGAUAUGUCCUUUAUAUGAAGAAGAGUGUUUAAAGUUCCCAAAGCAUAUUCCCUCUCUCCUAUUCAACCCAUAAUUUUUGAACUGUUGAUGAUUGACCACAUAAUUAGACAAAAAUCCCUUUUUAUUUUCUUCUAGUUGACCAACUAACACUAAGGCUUUUCGCUCUUCUCAGGCUCGGCCUUCUAUGGAUUUCAACUUGCAAUGGAGAAUAUUCAUUCUGGUAAAGCCUUAAACAUGGUUUCUGUUAUUUCCUCUAUUUAUAAUGUAUGGACUGUGGAGCCACCUGCCUAAAGGGUGAUCUUUUUUCUCCUUUUUAAAAUAUGGGCUAUCAUCAGAGAUGUACAGCUUGCUUUUGGAGGCAUAUAUCAAGGAUUCAAGGGAGAAACAUAUAUUGUUCAAUGCAAUUGAAAGCAUUCCUUGUGUUUCUAGGAAGGCUAAGUGGCCUUGGAUUGGAUACACAGGUACAUGUACAUUCUUCUUUUGCAUUCCUGGUAUAAGCAAAGAUGGCACAUCUUUGGGUUUGGAGUGCUUCGUAAUUGCUAAUGAAGGAAAUUAUAUUUCUUGUGUGGUUGGACCUGUUUGUCUUGAGUUGUGUAGGAGGGCCAUUUCUAUGAAACGGAAAUCACAUAUGCAAUAA